rnacentral:rRNA from 1 species
AUUGAACGCUGGCGGCAGGCUUAACACAUGCAAGUCGAACGCCCCGCAAGGGGAGUGGCAGACGGGUGAGUAACGCGUGGGAAUCUACCCAUCCCUACGGAACAACUCCGGGAAACUGGAGCUAAUACCGUAUACGCCCUUUGGGGGAAAGAUUAUCGGGGAUGGACGAGCCCGCGUUGGAUUAGCUAGUUGGUGGGGUAAAGGCCUACCAAGGCGACGAUCCAUAGCUGGUCUGAGAGGAUGAUCAGCCACAUUGGGACUGAGACACGGCCCAAACUUCUACGGGAGGCAGCAGUGGGGAAUAUUGGACAAUGGGCGCAAGCCUGAUCCAGCCAUGCCGCGUGAGUGAUGAAGGCCUUAGGGUUGUAAAGCUCUUUCACCGAUGAAGAUAAUGACGGUAGUCGGAGAAGAAGCCCCGGCUAACUUCGUGCCAGCCGCCGCCGUAAAAC